GUAAAACGCCCAACUUUUUCUUAGAGUUGACCUCGAAUCAGGUAGGAAUACCCGCUGAACUUAAGCAUAUCAAUAAGCGGAGGAAAAGAAACCAACAGGGAUUGCCCCAGUAACGGCGAGUGAAGCGGCAACAGCUCAAAUUUGAAAUCUGGCCCCCAGGGCCCGAGUUGUAAUUUGCAGAGGAUGCUUUUGGCGAGGUGCCUUCCGAGUUCCCUGGAACGGGACGCCACAGAGGGUGAGAGCCCCGUCUGGUCGGAUACCGAGCCUCUGUAAAGCUCCUUCGACGAGUCGAGUAGUUUGGGAAUGCUGCUCUAAAUGGGAGGUAUAUGUCUUCUAAAGCUAAAUACCGGCCAGAGACCGAUAGCGCACAAGUAGAGUGAUCGAAAGAUGAAAAGCACUUUGAAAAGAGGGUUAAAUAGUACGUGAAAUUGUUGAAAGGGAAGCGCUUAUGACCAGACUUGGGCCCGGUGAAUCAUCCAGCGUUCUCGCUGGUGCACUUUGCCGGGCUCAGGCCAGCAUCAGUUUGCCCCGGGGGAUAAAGGCUCUGGGAACGUGGCUCCUCCGGGAGUGUUAUAGCCCACUGCACAAUACCCUGGGGCGGACUGAGGUUCGCGCAUCUGCAAGGAUGCUGGCGUAAUGGUCAUCAGCGACCCGUCUUGAAACACGGACCAAGGAGUCGUCUUCGUAUGCGAGUGUUCGGGUGUCAAACCCCUACGCGUAAUGAAAGUGAACGCAGGUGAGAGCUUCGGCGCAUCAUCGACCGAUCCUGAUGUUCUCGGAUGGAUUUGAGUAAGAGCAUACGGGGCCGGACCCGAAAGAAGGUGAACUAUGCCUGUAUAGGGUGAAGCCAGAGGAAACUCUGGUGGAGGCUCGCAGCGGUUCUGACGUGCAAAUCGAUCGUCAAAUAUGGGCAUGGGGGCGAAAGACUAAUCGAACCUUCUAGUAGCUGGUUUCCGCCGAAGUUUCCCUCAGGAUAGCAGUGUUGAACUCAGUUUUAUGAGGUAAAGCGAAUGAUUAGGGACCCGGGGGCGCUUUCUUGCCUUCAUCCAUUCUCAAACUUUAAAUAUGUAAGAAGCCCUUGUUACUUAGUUGAACGUGGGCAUUCGAAUGUAUCAACACUAGUGGGCCAUUUUUGGUAAGCAGAACUGGCGAUGCGGGAUGAACCGAACGCGAGGUUAAGGUGCCAGAGUAGACGCUCAUCAGACACCACAAAAGGUGUUAGUACAUCUUGACAGCAGGACGGUGGCCAUGGAAGUCGGAAUCCGCUAAGGACUGUGUAACAACUCACCUGCNGAAUGUANUANCCCUGAAAAUGGAUGGCGCUCAAGCGUCUCACCCAUACC
rnacentral:rRNA from 1 species